UACGUAGGGACCGAGCGUUGUCCGGAAUCAUUGGGCGUAAAGAGCGUGUAGGCGGCCAUUUAAGUCCUGCGUGAAAUCUUGCGGCUCAACCGCAAGCGGUCGUGGGAAACUGGGUGGCUAGAGUGCGGGAGAGGAGAGUGGAAUUCCUGGUGUAGCGGUGGAAUGCGCAGAUAUCAGGAAGAACACCCGUGGCGAAGGCGGCUCUCUGGAACGCAACUGACGCUGAGACGCGAAAGCGUGGGGAGCAAACAGG
rnacentral:rRNA from 1 species